rnacentral:rRNA from 1 species
AUCUGGUUGAUCCUGCCAGUAGUCAUACGCUCGUCUCAAAGAUUAAGCCAUGCAUGUGUAAGUGUAAAUAUACUAGUUUGGAACUGCGAAUGGCUCAUUAUAUCAGUUAUAGUUUAUUUGGUGAAGUGUACUACUUGGAUAACCGUAGUAAUUCUAGGGCUAAUACAUGAGAAAGUCCUCUGGUGAGGUGUGUUUAUUAGAAUGAAAACCAUAUGCUUCGGCAUGAUAGUGAGUAAUAGUAACCUAUCGUAUCGCAUGCUUAAUGUAGCGAUGAGUCUUUCAAGUUUCUGCCCUAUCAGCUUUCGAUGGUAGUAUAUGGGCCUACCAUGGCAGUAACGGGUAACGAAGAAUUUGGGUUCGAUUUCGGAGAGGGAGCCUGAGAGAUGGCUACCACAUCCAAGGAAGGAGCAGGCGCGUAAUUACCCAAUCCUGACCAGGGAGGUAGUGACAAUAAAUCACAAUGCGGGACUAUCGUCUUGCAUUGGAUUGAGAACAUGUACACUCUUAUCGAUAGCCAUUGGAGGGAAGUCUGGUGCCAGCAGCCGCGGUAAUUCCAGCUCCAUAGCGAUAUUACGUUGUUGCAUUAAAAGCUCAUCUUUC